rnacentral:rRNA from 1 species
AACGUAGGACGCAAGCGUUAUCCGGAGUUACUGGGCGUAAAGCGCGGGCAGGCAGCUCGAUGCGUCUGAUGUGAAAUCUCCUCGCUCAACGGGGAGAGGCCAUUGGAAACGGUCGGGCUGGAGGGCAGUAGAGGCAGGCGGAAUUCCGGGUGGAGUGGUGAAAUGCGUAGAGAUCCGGAGGAACACCAGAGGCGAAGGCGGCUUUCUGGACAGUAACUGACGCUGAGGCGCGAAAGCCGGGGGAGCAAACAGG